rnacentral:miRNA from 1 species
AUUUACACGUGUCGCUCGGGA